rnacentral:rRNA from 1 species
UGGGGAAUAUUGCACAAUGGGCGGAAGCCUGAUGCAGCGACGCCGCGUGAGGGAUGACGGCCUUCGGGUUGUAAACCUCUUUCAGUACAGAACAAGGCUCUUUCGGGGGUUGAGGGUAUGUGCAGAAGAAGCGCCGGCUAACUACGUGCCAGCAGCCGCGGUAAUACGUAGGGCGCAAGCGUUGUCCGGAAUUAUUGGGCGUAAAGAGCUCGUAGGCGGUUUGUCGCGUCUGCCGUGAAAUCCUGGGGCUUAACUCUGGGCGUGCGGUGGGUACGGGCAGACUAGAGUGCGGUAGGGGAGACUGGAAUUCCUGGUGUAGCGGUGGAAUGCGCAGAUAUCAGGAGGAACACCGGUGGCGAAGGCGGGUCUCUGGGCCGUUACUGACGCUGAGGAGCGAAAGCAUGGGGAGCGAACAGG